rnacentral:rRNA from 1 species
UACGUAGGGGGCAAGCGUUGUCCGGAAUCAUUGGGCGUAAAGCGCGCGUAGGCGGCCCGAUAAGUCUGCUGUGAAAGUCCAGGGCUCAACCCUGGAAUGCCGGUGGAUACUGUCGGGCUAGAGUUCGGAAGAGGCAAGUGGAAUUCCUGGUGUAGCGGUGGAAUGCGCAGAUAUCAGGAGGAACACCAAUAGCGAAGGCAGCUCGCUGGGACGUUACUGACACUGAGGCGCGAAAGCGUGGGGAGCGAACAGG